rnacentral:lncRNA from 1 species
AGUAAUCUAGAAAAACCAUUUGGUGGAAAGACAGUUCUUCUUGGGGGAGAUUUCAGGCAAAUCUUACCUGUUUUACCCAAGAAAGGACGAGCAGAUAUUGUCAUGUCAUCCAUCAGUAAAUCUUACCUAUGGAAACAAUGUAAAGUUUUUAAACUGGAUCAAAAUAUGAGAAUAGAAGCAAAUGUACCACCAGUAACAGUUGGAGGGAUCUCAAUUCCAUACAUGGAAUGGAUAAUUAAGGUUGGUGAUGGUACGGCAGAAUCAGUAUCGAUGGAUGAUUCGGGAGAGGCAAAUUUAAUCGAAAUACCAAAAGAAUUACUACUGGAUCCUGGGGAUGAUGGUAAGAAAACAAUUAUUGAUAAAAUAUACUCAGAACUAGAAGCAAGACAUAUGGAGCCAAAUUAUUUUAGAGAUCGUGCUAUUCUGACACCUAUUAAUGAAGAUGUCGAUUCUAUAAAUACAGAAGUAUUAAGGCGAUCAACAGGUACAAGUUGUGUCUAACCUGUUCCACUUAUUAUUUAUAUAAUACACACUUAGUUACAUUUCACAAUUUUAUUUAUUUUUGUACUACAAUCUUACGAUUUCAAUUACUACAGGUAAAUGUGAGCUCUAUCGAAGCUUCGAUUCUAUAUGCAAGAGCUCAGUGAAUUAUGAAUCUCAGGAAAGUAUGAAUCCUAUAGAGUUUCUGAACUCUCUGACCUUUUCUGGCAUUCCUAAACAUGAGCUAAGACUCAAAGUUGGUUGUCCAAUUGUACUCCUUCGGAAUAUAUGUCCUUCAAGAGGUCUUUGCAACGGCACGAGGUUAAUUGUUACCCAA